rnacentral:rRNA from 1 species
AGUGAACGCUGGCGGUAGGCCUAACACAUGCAAGUCGAACGGCAGCACAGUAAGAGCUUGCUCUUACGGGUGGGGAGUGGCGGAAGGGUGAGGAAUACAUCCGACUCUACUUUUUCGUGGGGGUUAACGUAGGGAGACCUAAGCUAAUAUCGCAUCCGACCCUCGGGUGAAAGCAUGGGAUCUUUGGAGCUUGCGCGGAUGAAUGAGCCGAUUUUGGAUUAGCUAGUUGGGGGGGUGAUGGCCCAGCAAGGCGCGGAUUCGUAGCUGGUCUGAGUGGCUGGUCAGCCACAUUAGAACGUAACCACGCUCCUGACUCCUACGGGAGGCACCAGUGGGGAAUAUUAGACAGUGGUCGGAAGCCUGAUCCAGCCGUACCGCGUGGGUGACGAAGACCUUCGGUUUGUAAAGCCCGUUUGUUGAGUAAGAAAAGCAGCAGGUUAAUACCCCGCUGUUGUGACGGUACCCAAAGAAUAAGCACCGGCUAACUUCGUG